CCAGAACUGCGAAGCAGGUGAAUGUGGCCGGUUUUUUGAGCUAACAUCGAUUCGUAAAGGGGCUACAGAUGUUCUGGUGUGCAUGCUCCGCGGAGCUACGAUCGGGCUUCUGUUCGGAGACGCCUAAAGGAACGCGUGGUCCUUUACCCGUAUCCUAAACGGGUUCAUUAAAUCGCCCGCACACGGCUGAGCGGUCUGCC
rnacentral:other from 1 species